CUUAUGGCAAUAUAGUUGUUUGCAUCAGUGCAAUAAGACUCAAUUUUUCUUUUGCAACAGGACACAAUUGGAUAAGGUUAUUUUAUCAAGACUUUAACUGGAAGGGUAUGUUUCCCUUUAAGGAGUCAAGCUUGACUUUCAGGGCCCAUAAAAACCCCGUGGGGAAACUGGCCUCAUAACUCUUGUCUACACAGUCCCUGUAGAGGGUUCCUGACCUGUGGUCAGUAAAGAAUGCCACUUUCUAACAGGUCCAGGAGCUCCAAAUUUAUCUUGGGACCUUAAGAAGAGGGGAUCACCUAACCCACAGGUGGGUGGCCAUUCGUCUUCAGUGUGUACCCCUUCCAAAUGCAUCCUGAACUGCUGGGACUUCUUUGAAAAGCACCUUCUUUUCCCUGUCUCCUCCUCAGUCCUCUCUUCAGUUAGGCCAUCAAACUCCAAACAAUCAUGCAACCAGAGCCUCUAAUGAUGGCCCCUUCUGCCAGGAACCUUUAAAUUUCCUCUGAGGGAGCUCUGACUGUUGUUUCUCAACAACUGCACCCCCUGUCAGCAGGAAGCAGUUAAGAUCAUCUUCCUCCUUACCUUGAAUCUACCAGCGGUUACAUGUACUUCUUUAGAGGGGUGAAUGAGAGCCAGGUGGGAGGGGGUCCCUGGAGAAAUUCCAGUCAGUCUGCCCAUUGAGGUGGAGCCUUGGGAAGUUCAUGCCCUUUGCAGUGGGGAGGGGCCUGGCCCCACCUCUUCCUAUGUGGAACCCAGUAUUCAAAUAGCAGCAGGAAGCUCUCUAGCAGGGGACUCUGAAACAGGAGGAUGCCUGUCCCCCCUCCUCCUUUUUUUUCCCUUUUCACCCAAUAAAACCUUGCUUUACUCACCCUUUAAACCAUCUUUGAGCCUAAAUUUUCAUGUCUAUAGGAUAGACAAGAACCCUGUCUUUAGCUAAA
rnacentral:lncRNA from 1 species